rnacentral:lncRNA from 1 species
CUCCAGUCUUUGUCAUCUCCUGUUCUGUUUGUUUAUAACCAGAGAGAAAACAUAAACUAACCACUAGCAGCAGACACACCAAGCUGCUCUCUUUUUGUCUAGCCAUUUUGCAGUUCCAGAAAGAGAAGUGCUGGCUCAGAAAGCAGCUCAAAAUUCAUAAAGAGGCACAUCCAAAGCUUGGCGAAACUAUUGAUAACUGCGUUUUUCCUGUCUUCCCUCAACAUUUCCAUGAGUGCGGCAUCGUCUGGCUGGAGUUCAGGCUCACAUCUCUCCCCAUAAAGGUGGGGGAAAUAAGGCAGGGGAAGAAAAAUAUUCUUAUUUUCUCUAUUUAACUACAGUUGUAUUUUGUUCUGUUUUAUUACAACUGUGCCCGUGGUGGAACCAGAGGAGGCAGGGCUUCACACGAGCCCACACAGGGAUGGAGCAAAGUGGGGCCAGCAGCAUCCACCAGUGCCCACGCUCGGUUUUAGGGAUGGGGAACUGAAACCCAGGCUCUCUCCUGGCUCCCAAUUCUCGCUUACCACACUUAAUUAAACUAAUCAAGGCUUCCCCCUCCUCCUCAGCUUCCCUGCCAAUAAAAGCAGCAGCACAGGGCCGGGUGAUGGAUGCAGUGCCCUGGGAAGCUGCGUCUGACCCCAGCCCUGCGGAGGAGCCGCUGCCCUCGGGUGCUGUGCGGAUGAGAGUCAAGGCUGCUGGAGGACUUCUUAAGGCACGGAAGCUGAGGAGGUGCGUGCUGCAGAGCCGCGGUGCAAAACAAAGGGAAGGGGCACAAAUAGUUGGAGAUCAAAAGAUUCUCUUCCAGCUCAGAUUCAUGUGGCACCGAGCUGUUGCAGCGCUGCGUUACGGCGUUUCAAGGACACUGAUCCCCAGCGUGCCACGGGGAGAGGCGCCCUGCAGCUCCCGGGAGCAGCGCGGCUCUGCUGCAGUCCUCCUGGCGGGGUGGUCGGGACCAGAGCUGCAGCCAGGCAGAAGUGGUCUGCUGGUGGGGACCUUGCGAUCACCGGUGAGCAGCAGGGGGGCUCAGGGGUGGUGGCAUUCCCAUGGCAGUGUUCCCACGGUGGCAUUCCCACACGGCACCGUGCUGGGCACCGUGCAGGCUGAGGCAUCGCAGCGGUAGCAGCAGAGGGGACGCAGGGGAGCACGAGGUUACAUCGAGCCUGCUCGUUCUCAUUAUUAGAGUGACAUCCUCAGGGGGAAGGUGGACGGGAGAAGUCGGGGCUGACACGUGCUGACAAGGGAGCUACGAAUAAGGAAUGCCCAGAUGAUUUAUUUCUGAAGUAAUUAAGGCACUAGGUGACCUGUCCUGAAUUCCUGCCCUUGCCACCUGCCCCGGGUGAUCAGCUGGAAGUCGCUUUGCCUCUCAGGGCCUCAGACCCUCAGUGGUGACCUGGGCACCGCGGCCUUCCCCGCUGCUACCGCGGGCGGCGUGCACGGCGAUGCAGCCGAGUCGCAAACGCUUUGCUUGUGGGACGUGAAAGCACUUGGCAGGAUUUAUGCAGCCGGUACCCGCUCUGACACGAGGCAUGUCCCUGCAAGCAUUACUGGAAGGUGCUCAGAUCCAAGGCUGGAAUGAGAGCUGACUGAGCAGCAUAUGGGUAAAUGAUUUAGACACUGAGCAAUCACGCAUUUCUGAAGCACGCUUUUGUUAAAGGCCUAGCGGGAGAGCUCCCCUGGUCUCAUAAUAAGCCCAGAUAGCGUGUUUAUGGCUGUGGUACGUAUGGCAAAUAUAGGCGUUUUGUCUGAACACAUUUAAGCAUUUUCUCCCAUCAGGCCGUGGCCAUUUUCAGUUUAAACGAUGAUAACGCUUUCUGGAGAAUGAGUUACGGGUAUCGGGGAAAGCUCUGUAAAACGAGAGCAAACGAGAACCCUGCCUCGCAUCAGCACUGUGGCAGCAGGAUGAGCGCCGUCAGACACCGAUGGCAUGGGCACGUCCCAGCAGCCACCCUCGCCCCGCCGCCGAGCCGAAUAAUCCUCUUUUCCCCAGCCAGAACAAGCACUUCAUAAAUAUUCAUCUGCUCAAAUGAAAGCAUUAGCCCUUGUUUCCUCGAGUGGAACUAACUGAAAAUUGAUGAUAGUUUUCUGAAAAUGCAAGAUUAUGUACACAGAAGCAAUUAUAUGUAAACUUAUUAAUUAUUUAACAGCUUGUUAAUGAGCAAGGUUUGUUCUCGUCGCUCGGGUUGGCCCCACGUUUGGUGCUGCAGGCGACCACGGCUCCGCGGGACGGAGGGGCAGGUGAAGCCACAGAGCUGGAACGUGUUUCAGCUGCUAGUGUCUGAAAAAACAACCUUUGAACCCAGCUUGUGGGGUGCAGGCAGUGCUCAGGCUCGCAGGGAAGUGCAGGAGCUCAGAGCCCGGCCUCCUGGACACGGCGCGGAGGCAGAGCAGCGCUCCUCAUCCCCUGCUCAGAGCGCCUGCUCGCAGCCUUGAAGCAUUAGCUACAUCAUAUGCUUUUGAAAUCCUCAUUAAACAUGUAUAAAUGGAAAUAAUUUGAUUUUGUAAUGCAAGCCAACCAUUCACAUUCACACGGGCUGCAGGCCCCUCGUGCAGCGGCCGUGCCCAGCCCCUCGCACCCUGCUGCAGAGCGGGCUGCGGCCCCCCGGUGCUGGGGGCCCCUUCGUCACAGCAGGCUGGCAGUCUGCGGCACACGGUGAAUAUUCUUCAGUUUUAUUAAACUUCCCAAACAUCUCGAGCUCUGUUAUGUGCUAUCAGUGCCUAACUUCUUUAUUUGGCUGGAUGUCAGAGGCCGCAGUCAGGUCAGGUCCUAUUGUGUCAUAAGCACGGCACAGUCGUUUGGUGGGUGACAGGAAUGACGAAAUUUUAUUCAAUAACUGCUGUAGCGCCACUUUCAGAAAUAUUUUUUACAUCAUUGUGACAUGUGCCAGAACUCAGAUACGCGCUUGUAAAUUAGUGCACAGCACUCGGCAAUUUCUGGCUAAUGAAUUCCAGCAAGCAAUUUUCUUUGAGAUUUGUGGAAUAUUUUUGCAUUAUGGAUAAUAAAAGUAAAAACUAAUAAACA